CGUUCCCGGGCCUUGUACACACCGCCCGUCAAGUCACGAAAGUUGGUAACACCCGAAGCCGGUGGCCUAACCCCUUGUGGGAGGGAGCUGUCGAAGGUGGGACUGGCGAUUGGGACU
rnacentral:rRNA from 1 species